CGGCGGACGGGUGAGUAACACGUGGAUAACCUACCUAUAAGACUUGGAUAACUUCGGGAAACCGGAGCUAAUACCGGACAAUAUAUUGAACCGCAUGGUUCAAUAGUGAAAGACGGUUUUGCUGUCACUUAUAGAUGGAUCCGCGCCGCAUUAGCUAGUUGGUAAGGUAACGGCUUACCAAGGCAACGAUGCGUAGCCGACCUGAGAGGGUGACCGGCCACACUGGAACUGAGACACGGUCCAG
rnacentral:rRNA from 1 species